rnacentral:rRNA from 1 species
UGGGGAAUAUUGCACAAUGGGCGAAAGCCUGAUGCAGCGACGCCGCGUGAGGGAUGGAGGCCUUCGGGUUGUAAACCUCUUUCGCUCAUGGUCAAGCCGCAACACUUGGUUGUGGUGAGGGUAGUGGGUAAAGAAGCGCCGGCUAACUACGUGCCAGCAGCCGCGGUAAUACGUAGGGCGCGAGCGUUGUCCGGAAUUAUUGGGCGUAAAGGGCUUGUAGGCGGUUGGUCGCGUCUGCCGUGAAAUCCUCUGGCUUAACUGGGGGCGUGCGGUGGGUACGGGCUGACUUGAGUGCGGUAGGGGAGACUGGAACUCCUGGUGUAGCGGUGGGAUGCGCAGAUAUCAGGAAGAACACCGGUGGCGAAGGCGGGUCCCUGGGCCGUUACUGACGCUGAGGAGCGAAAGCGUGGGGAGCGAACAGGAUUAGAUACCCUGGUAGUCCACGCUGUAAACGUUGGGCACUAGGUGUGGGGGCCACCCGUGGUUUCUGCGCCGUAGCUAACGCUUUAAGUGCCCCGCCUGGGGAGUACGGCCGCAAGGCU